rnacentral:rRNA from 1 species
ACUCAAAUGAAUUGACGGGGGCCCGCACAAGCAGCGGAGCGUGUGGUUUAAUUCGAUGCAACGCGAAGAACCUUACCUGCGCUUGACAUGCCAUUGCACCACGGGUAAUUCCGUGUCCCCUUCGGGGGCGGUGGCACAGGUGCUGCAUGGCUGUCGUCAGCUCGUGCCGUGAGGUGUUGGGUUAAGUCCCCUAACGAGCGCAACCCCUGGGGUCCGUUACCUUGGUGUCGGGCCCGACUGCCGCGCGCAACGCGGAGGAAGGUGGGGAUGACGUCAAGUCAGCACGGCCCUGACGCGCAGGGCGACACACACGCUACAAUGGCCGGUACAACGGGUCGCGAAGCCGCGAGGCGGAGCCAAUCCCAACAAAGCCGGUCUCAGUUCGGAUCGCAGGCUGCAACUCGCCUGCGUGAAGUCGGAGUUGCUAGUAACCGUGGGUCAGCACACCGCGGUGAAUACGUUCCCGGGCCUUGUACACACCGCCCGU